UACGUAGGGUGCGAGCGUUAAUCGGAAUUACUGGGCGUAAAGCGUGCGUAGGUGGUGUCGUAAGUUUGGUGUGACAUCUCCCGGCUUACCUGGGAGGGUGCGCCGAAGACUGCGAUGCUGGAGUAUGGGAGAGGAAAGCGGAAUUCCUGGUGUAGCGGUGAAAUGCGUAGAUAUCAGGAGGAACACCUGCGGUGUAGACGGCUUUCUGGACCAUUACUGACACUGAGACACGAUAGCGUGGGUAGCAAACAGG
rnacentral:rRNA from 1 species